rfam:Eucalyptus grandis cultivar BRASTZ1 unplaced genomic scaffold scaffold_5, whole genome shotgun sequence.
AAGUUUUAUUAGAAUAGUCUUAUGUUAGAGAACAUAUGUGUUAAGACCUACGAGCUAAGGGACAAUUUAGGUAAACAGUUUCUAUGAAUGUAAGCCUCCUAAAAGGUAAUGAAGGCGUGCAAAGGUUUUUUCGGGUCGAAUGGAGAUUGUCCCUUGGCUUGAUUGCAAGACCCACUGUUGAAUAGGGACGAAAGUUGGCCUUAGUGAUCCAACGAUGUCAAGUGGAAGGCUAUUGCUCAACGGAUAAAAAUUACU